rnacentral:rRNA from 1 species
GAUGAACGCUGGCGGCGUGCUUAACACAUGCAAGUCGAACGAAGCACUUUAUUUGAUUUCCUUCGGGACUGAUUAUUUUGUGACUGAGUGGCGGACGGGUGAGUAACGCGUGGGUAACCUGCCUUGUACAGGGGGAUAACAGUUGGAAACGGCUGCUAAUACCGCAUAAGCGCACGGCAUCGCAUGAUGCAGUGUGAGAAACUCCGGUGGUAUAAGAUGGACCCGCGUUGGAUUAGCUAGUUGGUGAGGUAACGGCCCACCAAGGCGACGAUCCAUAGCCGACCUGAGAGGGUGACCGGCCACAUUGGGACUGAGACACGGCCCAAACUCCUACGGGAGGCAGCAGUGGGGAAUAUUGCACAAUGGGCGAAAGCCUGAUGCAGCGACGCCGCGUGAGCGAAGAAGUAUUUCGGUAUGUAAAGCUCUAUCAGCAGGGAAGAUAAUGACGGUACCUGACUAAGAAGCACCGGCUAAAUACGUG